rfam:Clunio marinus genome assembly, contig: CLTMA_superscaffold_3
CUUAGUAUGGCGAUAUAUGCCCGACGACCCCUCUCGGAAAAGUCAUUGGGUCUGUGUGUUGCAUUUGCGGCGUAUUGGUAAUCGCAUUGCCCAUUCCUAUUAUUGUAAAUAAU